UUUGCCUCAAUUAUGUAUGAGUACCCGCUGAACUUAAGCAUAUCGUUAAGCGGAGGAAAAGAAACUAAAUAGGAUUUCCGUAGUAACUGCGAGUGAACUGGAAUUAGCCCAUCACGAAAUCUAUAUUACAUUCGUAAUAUCGAAAUGUCGUGUAUAGGUUUUAUUAUUAUUGAUAUAAUAUUAUUAAAUAAUUGUAUUUAAAUAUACAGCCACAGAAGGUGCCAGCCCUGUUGUUUAAUAAUAUUUAUCAAAUUUAUAAAACUUUAGAGUCGUGUUGCUUGGAAGUGCAGCGCAAAGUUGGUGAUAAACAUCAUCUAAGGCUAAAUAUUCCUAUGAAUCCGAUAGCGAACAAGUACUGUGAAGGAAAAUUGCAAAGUACUCCGGAGAGAGAGUUAAAGAGGACGUGAAACCGAUACGAUGGAAGCAUACAGAGCCAGUUGCACUAUUAUUAAUAUUUAUUAAUAAUUUUAAGCAUGGGUAUAUUGAUAUGAUAAUUAGUUAUUUAUUAAAGAGUGAUAAAAAUAUUUUAUUUUUGUUAACUUUAAUAAAAUAAUUAUAUUAUUAAUUAAUAUUUAUAUUAUCAAUUUAUUAAUAAUAUAAUAUUUUAUUAAUAUUAUAUAAGACACAUGUGUUAAAUAUAAUUUAUUAAUAAUUAUUAUAUUAUUAUAUAUUGAUAUUCCUAUGUAAUCCUGGUAUGCUGUAUGUCCCGUCUUGAAACACGGACCAAGGAGUGUAUUGCUAUGGCAAGUCAUUGAUAUUGUUAAUAUCAAAGGCGUAAUGAAAAUAAUUUUAAUCUCUGAUCUUUUGAUUUUAUUAUCAUUAGCGCAUGAGAAACGUAAAUAUAUGAUAUAAUCAUUUUUUGCAGUUAUAGCCAUAGUAGUGCGACCCGAAAGAUGGUGAACUAUACUAGUGCAGGGUGAAGUCAGAAGAAAUUCUGAUGGAAGCUCGAAGCGGUCCUGACGUGCAAAUCGGUCGUCUGACAUUAGUAUAGGGGCGAAAGACUAAUCGAACCAUCUAGUAGCUGGUUCCGGCCGAAGUUUCCCCCAGGAUAGCUGAAACUGAUAUACAGAUACAUCCGGUAAAGCUAAUGUUUAGAGGAAUAGGGAAUAAUAUAUUCUUUAUCUAUUUACAAACUAUAAAUGGGUGUGAUAUUAUGAUUGCUUAAUUGAAUCAUAAUUUCGAUUGUAUAGUUUCAAGUGGGCCAUUUUUGGUAAGCAGAACUGGCGACGUGGGAUGAACCAAAAGUAUUGUUAAAGUGCCUAAAUUUUUGCUCAUCAGACCCCAUAAAAAGUGUUGUUUGAUCCUGACAGCAGGGCGGUGGCCAUGGAAGUCGGAAUCCGCUAAGGAUCGUGUAACAACUCACCUGCCGAAUCAAGCAGCCUUGAAAAUGGAUGGCGCUUGAGCAAAAUACUUAGACAAUACCAUAUAUUUAUUUUUUUUUAAAAAAAAUAUAUGUGUAGGCUGGCGUGAUAAUAGCAUUGAAGGUUAUAAGCGUAAGCUUGACUGGAGCUGUUAUUAGUGCAGAUCUUGGUGAUAGUAGCAAAUACACAAGUGAGAAUCUUGUGGACCGAAGUGGAAAAGGGUUUCACGUCAACAUCAUUUGACUGUGAGUUAGUCGGUCCUAAGCUAAAAUUGAAAAAUUUUUAUUCAUAUAUAGCGAAAGGGAAAUAGAUUAAUAUUUCUAUACUAUCUAUGGAGAUAAUAUAGGAUAAUAACUAUAUUAUGCAUGGUAACAUAAAUGAAAUUAACUACAAUAUAACAAGUUUUGGGUAGAGAUAUCUUCUCUAUUUAAGUUAUUAAAUCUAUGGAAAUUGCUCAGCAAGAGAUAUAGAUGAAAUUUUAACGUAGAGUACUAACAUUUUGUUGGUAUCCAAAGUGCUUGUUAUAUUACUUAAAAAGUUAAUGGAAGCAUAAUAAAUUUCAUAGAAUAACCGUACCCAUAUCCGCAACAGGUUUCCAAGAUGUUUAGUCUCUGGUCGAUGAAAUAAUGUAGGUAAGGGAAGUCGGCAAAAUAGAUUCGUAACUUUGGGAAAAGAAUUGGCUCUUGAGAUGUAGAUAUUCGGGUAUCAUGUAUUCAAUGGUUAUUUAAUUAAUAUAAAAUGAAUACUAGUAAUAGUUAUUUGAUUUAUAUUUAUUGAUAAUCAUUAACAUAAUACUUACAAAUAUUUGAAAUAUAAUAUUUUAACGAAUAUCAUUUUAUAUACAUUAAUCAAGAACUGGCACGGACAAGAGGAAUCCGACUGUCUAAUUAAAACAGAGGAGACAGAUGAUGCUAGAUGCAUGUAGACUGUGUCUGAUUUCUGCCCAGUGCAAUGAAUGUUAUCAUUGGGAAACCAAUUGAAGCUCUUGUAAACGGCGGGAGUAACUAUGACUCUCUUAAGGUAGCCAAAUGCCUCGUCGGGUAAUUUCCGACGCGCACGAAUGGAUUAACGAGAUUCCUACUGUCCCUAUCUACCAUUCAGCGAAAUCACAGCCAAGGGAACGGGCUUGGCAAAAACAG
rnacentral:ncRNA from 14 species